rnacentral:rRNA from 1 species
UACGGAGGGUGCAAGCGUUAUCCGGAUUCACUGGGUUUAAAGGGUGCGUAGGUGGGUUGGUAAGUCAGUGGUGAAAUCCCCGAGCUUAACUUGGGAACUGCCAUUGAUACUAUCAGUCUUGAAUAUUGUGGAGGUUAGCGGAAUAUGUCAUGUAGCGGUGAAAUUCUUAGAUAUGACAUAGAACACCAAUUGCGAAGGCAGCUGGCUACGCAUAUAUUGACACUGAGGCACGAAAGCGUGGGGAUCAAACAGG